rnacentral:rRNA from 1 species
CAGUCGCCGCGGUAAUACAGAGGGUGCGAGCGUUAAUCGGAUUUACUGGGCGUAAAGCGUGCGUAGGCGGCUAAUUGAGUCGGAUGUGAAAUCCCUGAGCUUAACUUAGGAAUUGCAUUCGAUACUGGGAAGCUAGAGUAUGGGAGAGGAUGGUAGAAUUCCAGGUGUAGCGGUGAAAUGCGUAGAGAUCUGGAGGAAUACCGAUGGCGAAGGCAGCCAUCUGGCCUAAUACUGACGCUGAGGUACGAAAGCAUGGGGAGCAAACAGGAUUAGAUACCCGUGUAGUCCCUGUCUCUUAUAA